rnacentral:lncRNA from 7 species
AAGGUUGGAGCUAGGGAGGGGUUGAGGAAGUGCCUUUUCCUUUCCCCUUAAGCUUGGGAGCCAUAUAAGAUCAUCUCUUGUGUUACUGCGAGGAAACAGGGUGGUGUAUGAGGCAGAUGUGGAUUUGCUGAAAAAGAGAUGUGCUGGUUCCUGCUUGGCCACGCAGGAAGAUCAGGCCAUGUCUCCCCCAUCCCAGGGUUGCUCUGCGCCCACCCACUGCAGGAGCUCAGGAUCCAUGUGCCUGAAGAACCAAGGAGAUGGAAACAGCCUUGCAAUGGAAUCUCUAAUUUUAAAGAUUAUGAUCUUAAUUCACAAUUCUCAAGCACCUCCAGAAAUCAGUUUUCAGUUUUCUUGAUGUACAGCCAAAAACCAAACAAACCUUGAGCCAUUCAGCUUAUUGCUAUUGAUAUCAAAAUAACUUGGAUGUGUCUUUUCAUCCAACUAUUAGCAGCCUGGAACCUUCAAAAGCAGACUCUCUGCAGACAGCCCCUCCUCAUUUCAGAGCGGCCCUGAAAGCUGUAAGGAAAGCUUUUUGCUUUCCUCAUACCUUCAGUUCCCAAAGAGUCCUCGAAAUGAAAGCUGUCUAACAGUGAAAAAUAACAAGGAAAAUGCAGUGAUUUCACAAUGCAGUGAGCUGAAGUUCGUUCUUAAUUGUCUAUACCAGGGAAAGCUCUGUCUUGUCAGGCACAGAGCAGGAGUCAGGCGUCUGUGACACCGAACUCUCAACUUCUAGCAUAAGGGUUCAAACUGGCACUCCUUUACUGCACAAAAGACAGAUCAGACACUCGCUUGUUUUCCUUCACACAGUUUAAAUAAGUGCCAGUAGUGCCCAUCUCAGGGUGCUCUAAUUUAGCAGGAGAAGAGCAAGAGUCUAAGAGCAGUGUAAAGGUCCUUCUGUCCUGUCUGCCUGCGUUGAAUCAAGCAUCCACAGUUCAAAGCAAGUCUAUACUCAUGUUGCCUCCCCCUCUGCUUUUCUGAUAGCUACCUUGCAGCUAAUUGAGCCCCUUGAAGCUACCUAACAGCAAUUGCUCUGCUUGUGGAAGAACACAUUAACUACUGCCGAGAUGUACUGAGCAGUGAGUCUUGUCUUGCUGCAAUACCCUGGAGUCCUUAACUGUGAAGACAAAUCAUGUUAAUUAGGGACUGCUAAGACAUAAGACAGAAUUAAUCUUGUUAGAAAGUUAGAUGGGGAAAUAGAGCAAUUAGAGGUUUUGCUACAGAACAAGAUAGCUGAAAUGGAGGCGUAAUAAACUGCACCAGCCUCCAAAAUCAUGGCAAAGUAGAAGGUGUCUUUUAAGCAGCAGCAGAAUGUAGAACACAAACAUGACACAGGUGUUUGGAUGCCUGCAGUGAUGACAGGAGACAGACACUUUUACACAGAAAACUCAGCGCAUACAUUUUGUGAGCUGAAGCGUCUCAAGUGGGGACUUAAAGACGACGUGGUAGAGUUGCACGCUACGGCCUGGAGGUGUGGUCUUGCUCCCGGGAGCCUGAGAUAUGAUCUGGGAGACCAGAAUUCAGUCCUAGCUUUGUUUACUCAGCCCUGCUCGGAUUUACGACCACUUGCCAACCAGUUCUGAACCUGUAGUAUUAUUCCUGUAGUAGCAUAAUUAAGAUGUUAAUUUUACCACUUUCAAUUGUUUCUUAACACAUUGCCAAAGAGGAACUCCCAGACUUUAGGAGGCUUCUUUACUUUGAAUAAGUAAAAUGAUAUGUG